GCUCCCAUCCUCCGGUGCCGCCGCCCUCUCCCCCACGCUGGCCCAUCUUUGCUGCCUGUGCAGCGACUCGUGAUGUCGGGGUCCUCCCUCGGGCUGUCCAGUCUCUUCACCCCUGCCACACUUGGCAGAUAGACCAACCCUGCCUGCUCCUGGCCUCCAUUGUCCCGGAGCUCCUCCACCCUCUGGUUCCUCUUAUGUGAAGCUGCCCGGAGGCCUCUUCCCAAGGCCGGACACCUCAGGUUCUAGCCGCGCCCCCCCACUCCCACAAGGCCUCCCAGGGCCCCUCCCCACCUGCCCGGCCUUGCUGUUCUCCUGCUGCUCAACCUCCCCUGGAUGGAACCCUUCCGCUCUGCCGGCCUGGGAACGCAAAGGUGAGAUUCCCAGAGCUUCCACGGGGUGUGCACCUCCAGGGGCGAGGUGAGACGGUAUGUUCCGGUGCUAAUGGAAGGCAGCUGCUGGGGAGUCUGUGGGUCCCAGAACGGGGGCCAGAGCACAGCCAGCUUCUCCACAACUGGGGGACCCCAGGCCACUCGGAAGAUCCUCAGACCUGUGAGACGUCAGGCUUCAGGGCCCCUGCCCUGGGAAGGAGCCCGCAGUGACCCUAAGUAUGCCUGCCUCACGCCUCCCUCACCACAGCCCCAAGGUUGGGGUCUGCCUGGGUGUGCCGGUGGCCUUCAAAGGGGGGGUCUGCAGACCAGAUGCUUCGGGGCUACCUGGGGUUUCCAGGCCAUCCCAGAAAAACUUCCCGGAUUAGCACCUGCAGACUGGGCCUGGCCGUGUGCAUUCUAGCAAGCUCCUUGUGCUGGACAGGACGGUGGCUCCCCAAAGCUGCCCACGUCCCAAUUCCUGGAACCUGGGAAUUCAUGACCUUAUGUGGCAGCAGGAACCUUGCAGCUGGGACUCAGGUUACAGAACUCCAGGUGGGGAGAUGAUCCUGGAUUAUCUGGGGUGGGGGGGGUCCCAGUCUAAUCACAUGAGUUCUUCAACACAGAGCACUUUCCUGGCUGGGGUCAGAAAGAGACACGAUGGUGGAAGGAGAGCCCGAGAGAUGAGUGACCGCUGGCUUCGGAGAGAAACGAAGACCCCCGCCAGUGAACGCAGGUGGCCUCUAGAAACGGGAAGAGGCAGGGAAACGGCCUCUCCUCUCGAGCCUCCGGAAAGGACCACGGCCCCGCUGACACCCUGAGGUCAGCGCCGUGGGGCCCGCGCGGACUUGGGACCUACAGAACGGACACCCCCAAGGAUGCUGCCCGUGUGGACUGCUAUCGUGGACCAGCCUUGGCCAGAGGGCCCAUCCCAGCGAGAAUGCUCCAGCCAGCCACUCGAAAACUGAGCGGGCACAGAACCCCAGCAGUUACCUGGGCCAGCGAAACCAGCUGAGGAAUAACGCGCUCUUCCAGCGGACGGCUCGGACGAUUCGCACACCAGGGGACGUGGCUCAUCGGCUGUUAGUAGCGUCCUCAAGUGAAACGGCCCCAGCCCACCUUCAGUGGCCACCACCCUGAGCCGCCAACAGCCAGUGACAUGGAGGCAAGACCCUCCACCAGCAGAAAGACUACCACUAGCUGAAGGCUCAGACGAUUGCAUUUUGAGCAGUGAAGUAUUUUUAAAUGAAGGAGCUGCUUCUGUUUGUGCAUCUUACAAAUGCACAGGCUUUCCUGCAGCUUCACCACAAGUGACCGGUGGAAGGCUGAAGGAAACUAAAUGCUCAAGCUUCUUUCCCCUGCGUUGAGACCCCACGCACUCUGCACCCCUGUCCACCACCCUCUGGAGAAGGAUACACCUCCAAGGACCAAAAAAACCUGCACUUUAGACCAAUGUGAGCCAACUGCAGUCGGAGCCGAUGAUUCUCUUUGCACUGAUCCUGGAAGAACAAGACAAGUCACCUGCACGUUGUCAGUGUUACCGUGG